CCACCCAGCCCUUCAGAAAAGCUGGGUCGCACACUAGCUCCCAUACUUUCCUUCUUGCGUUGGGGACCUCAUGUGUUCAGCUGUGACAGUAAUGGCGUAGUUUCCCCUAACAUAGGACUAUUCCACCCAAGUGACAAAUGGAAACCUAGGCACUGGGGCAAGGUACAGAGCUACACCUUGGGAAAACAGGAUGUGAAGAGAAAUACAAAAAGGAUGACAUUUACAAAAAGGAUGACAUCACUUGCCACCUACAUUUAGCUAUCUCGGGCACCACAACAGUUGCCUUUAGGCCCAAAUGGUAGCAACACAUGAAAGGCCAGAACCCCACUGCAGCUGGGGCUCUUCACUCCCUGGGCUAGAGAGACUACUUCACACCCACCUCUGGAGUCCCCAGCCAAGGUCAAACAGAUGAACAGAUGCCUACAGCAAGCUUGUUGUCAGGGAAGGAGAUUGGACUUGUUAAUAUUAACUGAUCUCAUUUCUGGAUUCCUUUGGAGAGGACUCAUGGAAUUAGAAUGACCUGAGCCCCAGUGCCAAGCCAAGAGAGAAAUAAGUGUCUAAAUUACCCAGAUAAUUACUUUGUUUUGAUUAUCUGGACAUUGUUUAUAAAGACUUUUAAAAUUUGAGGGA